rnacentral:rRNA from 1 species
UAGGGAAUAUUGCGCAAUGGGCGAAAGCCUGACGCAGCCAUGCCGCGUGAGUGAUGAAGGCCUUCGGGUCGUAAAGCUCUUUUCUGAGGGAAGAAACGUUCGGGGAGGUAAUGCCCUGAACCUGACGGUACCUUAGGAAUAAGGGACGGCUAACUCCGUGCCAGCAGCCGCGGUAAUACGGAGGUCCCAAGCGUUGUUCGGAUUUACUGGGCGUAAAGGGAGCGCAGGCGGAUUAGUAAGUGGAAAGUGGAAUUCCGGGGCUUAACCUCGGAAGUGCUUUCCAAACUGCUAGUCUUGAGUACGGGAGAGGGAGGCGGAAUUCCCAGUGUAGAGGUGAAAUUCGUAGAUAUUGGGAGGAACACCGGUGGCGAAAGCGGCCUCCUGGACCGAUACUGACGCUGAGACGCGAAAGCGUGGGGAGCAAACAGGAUUAGAUACCCUGGUAGUCCACGCGGUAAACGAUGGGCACUAGGUGUGGGGGGUAUCCACUCCUCCCGUGCCGAAGCUAACGCAUUAAGUGCCCCGCCUGGGGAGUACGGCCGCAAGGUUA